AGUGAACGCUGGCGGUAGGCCUAACACAUGCAAGUCGAACGGCAGCACAGUAAGAGCUUGCUCUUACGGGUGGCGAGUGGCGGACGGGUGAGGAAUACAUCGGAAUCUACUUUUUCGUGGGGGAUAACGUAGGGAAACUUACGCUAAUACCGCAUACGACCUACGGGUGAAAGCAGGGGAUCUUCGGACCUUGCGCGAUUGAAUGAGCCGAUGUCGGAUUAGCUAGUUGGCGGGGUAAAGGCCCACCAAGGCGACGAUCCGUAGCUGGUCUGAGAGGAUGAUCAGCCACACUGGAACUGAGACACGGUCCAGAAUCGUACGGGAGGCAGCAGUGGGGAAUAUUGGACAAUGGGCGCAAGCCUGAUCCAGCCAUACCGCGUGGGUGAAGAAGGCCUUCGGGUUGUAAAGCCCUUUUGUUGGGAAAUAAAAGCAGCAGGUUAAUACCCAGCUGUUCUGACGGUACCCAAAGAAUAAGCACCGGCUAACUUCGU
rnacentral:rRNA from 1 species